rnacentral:rRNA from 1 species
GAGUUUGAUCCUGGCUCAGGAUGAACGCUAGCGAUAGGCCUUACACAUGCAAGUCGAGGGGCAGCACAUGAAAAAGUAGCAAUACAAUUUCUGGUGGCGACCGGCGCACGGGUGAGUAACGCGUAUGCAACCUACCUACUACUUUGGGAUAGCUCGUUGAAAGACGAAUUAAUACCUUAUAAUACAGGGACUCCGCAUGGAGAUAUUUGUUAAAGAUUUAUUGGUAGUAGAUGGGCAUGCGUUCCAUUAGUUAGUUGGCGAGGUAACGGCUCACCAAGACAACGAUGGAUAGGGGAACUGAGAGGUUUAUCCCCCACACUGGAACUGAGACACGGUCCAGACUCCUACGGGAGGCAGCAGUGAGGAAUAUUGGUCAAUGGAGGCAACUCUGAACCAGCCAAGUCGCGUGAAGGAUGACUGCCCUACGGGUUGUAAACUUCUUUUUUAAGGGAAUAAAGUGAGCCACGAGUGGCUUUUUGCAUGUACCUUACGAAUAAGGAUCGGCUAACUCCGUGCCAGCAGCCGCGGUAAUAC